GGUCUUGCCACCACUACAGCUUCCCCUGUCAUUUCUACAAGUUCUCCAGCAUUGCCCACCACAGCAGCUCCACGUACAGUUGUGGGUCCAGUGUUUAUCUUUGUCCGACUUGUGUUCCGCACCAACAACACCAUCCCCAGUGAGAGCGAUGUUCUCGCAAAGGGCAGUCCUUUCUUGAAUGGUGAUGAAAUCCAGCUGAAUGAUACCGUGAGGGUGCAGAAUCUCACAUAUGAGCGACUAACAGAUAAUUCCUUCGCUUUGAGACUGGCCUACAAGAUCAAUGACGUGAGCUUUC